rnacentral:rRNA from 1 species
GUGAACGCUGGCGGUAGGCCUAACACAUGCAAGUCGGACGGCAGCACAGUAAGAGCUUGCUCUUACGGGUGGCGAGUGGCGGACGGGGGAGGAAUACAUCGGAAUCUACUUUUUCGUGGGGGAUAACGUAGGGAAACUUACGCUAAUACCGCAUACGACCUACGGGUGAAAGCAGGGGAUCUUCGGACCUUGCGCGAUUGAAUGAGCCGAUGUCGGAUUAGCUAGUUGGCGGGGUAAAGGCCCACCAAGGCGACGAUCCGUAGCUGGUCUGAGAGGAUGAUCAGCCACACUGGAACUGAGACACGGUCCAGACUCCUACGGGAGGCAGCAGUGGGGAAUAUUGGACAAUGGGCGCAAGCCUGAUCCAGCCAUACCGCGUGGGUGAAGAAGGCCUUCGGGUUGUAAAGCCCUUUUGUUGGGAAAGAAAAGCAGCAGGUUAAUACCCCGCUGUUCUGACGGUACCCAAAGAAUAAGCACCGGCUAACUUCGUG